rnacentral:sRNA from 1 species
UUAACCAAUCCCAGGAACUGAAGUCUUCUGUUUCUUCACAGAGGAAAUAUGACAAAGGCAGUGGCUGUACAAGCUUCCUUCAUGGGCCGUCCGCCCCACUGCCUCAUCCAGUAAGCGGGAGCAACCACUUCUAGAGGUGAGAGGGGAGGGAGAACAAUCUCCAUAACCCGUUUGAUCCACCUAGCUGCA